ensembl:lncRNA
CAUUGUUAUGGUUUCGCAGGACUUGAAAGGGCUGCUGCAGAUGGGGCCGCACCAGCAGCUUCCUCCCCGCCCUUCUGACCCUCCUCUUCCCACAUUCUCCUCCUCGGAGCUUUCCUCUGCUCCCCGGGGAACCUGUGUCAUUCAAACCAGCCCUUGCUUUCCCAGGGCCCUGGGAAAGUCCUCUCCACCUUUUGCUGGCUCCCCCCACCCUCGGCCCCACAUUCCUGCCGCUCCCGCCUCACCUCUCACCGCACCCUGCACAUUCACCCCUGAAAUUCCUCAAGAAGGCCCCGCGCCACGGGGGUCUCAGAAUGACUUAGCGCUGGAGCGAGAAGCCCAGCCCUGCCCUGCCCUGCUCUGGCCUCAAAGGGGGAAGACUUAGGGAAAAGGGUUCAGAGGCGCCGCCCUCCCCUGGGGCGGGAGAGAGCCUGCGUUGGAGGUCUUCUGGGGUUUGACGUCAGCCUAAGCACGGAGCUCAGACCCCAGAGCAGCCUUUCGCAGGCUGUCCCCUCACGCCCUUGCAGGGUCGCAAAGUGGGGGAAAUGCAGCAUGCUUUGCAACAGGCCCAGAAGUCAGGCACACAGAUGACAAAGCCCCGAGGAGCAGGCAUGGCUUCCCUCCAGGGUAGAUGCGCCCGGGAAGGGUCCGAUUUGCACUUGUGGGCGGAAUGAACUAUUUCAGGCAGGAGGAACCGCUGGAGCAGAGGCGGGGAGGCCAGAAGUUCGGCGAGUCGGUCAAGUAAAUGGAGCGCCUCGGGCUUCCGAGGAGACCCUGGGGUCCGCGGUCCCCUCGGGUCCGCCGUCGGGCUACCGUGGGCGCUACGCCCAGCUCGGGAAGCCGUGUUCCUUCCUGCCCGUCUCCGUCUCCGACCGCCCGCGCCUUCGCUCCCCACGUGAAGACGCUGGUCCGCGGGGCCGUCGGGCCUGUGCGGGCGGCGGGCUGGGCCCCCGCCCCGCCUCUUGCGGGCGGAGGAGCCGCGACCAGAGCAAUCCGGGCGCAGGAGGCCCCCGGGGGAGACGGACUAAACCUGAGAGCGCGGGCCUCCCAGAAGCAGCCUCUUAGCCGGGCCUGGGGGGGUCGGGGAGAGAGGCCCUGGGAAAGGCAGGAUCCUGGUUGUGCAGGAGGGAGGCGAGCCCAGGGCCCCCUUGGGGCUUGCAGUGCCCCCAGCCCCGACUUCACCCUCACCCCCAGGGUGAGGACCGGGGCUCUGCCCAAGGCCCUCUAAGCGAAACUCGAUGUGCAAGAACACGCAAGUACACAAGUCCGAGCCCCCGGAACGUCUCCUCUAAGCGUCAACCCAGAUGGACCUGCCUCUAAUCGGCUCCAGACUGUCCUGUUCACAUCCAAGGAAGGGGGAGGCGCCAACAGAGGUGAGAGCGAGAACAAAGCCUUCUCAAGCCAACUGCUGCUCCACCUCUGCACCUCCCCAUGCCCAGCGGAUGCCCUCGCCCGCGCUCACAAUCGGACAGACUCACGGACACCCACGCGUGCGCGUGCACUUGGGUGCAGUCCCACUGACCCGUGUUCCCAUCUGACUUCACACAUGAUGCCCAGGUUCCAGCCCCCCACGGGAGACCCUGACAGUCAAGGAGACGGCAGAAUGAACCCUAGAAUGAUCCUUUGGGAUUGUCCCUCCUAUUCUCUCUCCCCCACUUCCAGCCCUUCCAGCCCCUGUUCCCCACAAGGCUUUGUUCUCUGUGCAGGGCAAUCCGGGAGCAGCUGCAGGAGGGACACUGGGUCAGGCUAGGCGGAGAUCAAAAGCACUCGGGGAGGGAGUGUCCUCUGGACCGGAGCUGCCGCCUCCCCCACCACACCCGGGGAC